AGCAGUGUGGCAUAGUGGUUUGAGUGUUGGACUAAAACUUUGGCGACCAGGGUUCAAUUCCCAGAGUUAUCU